AGACUGAGAGAGAGAGACAGACUGAGAGAUAGGGAGAGGGGCAGGGAUAGAGAGAGAGACAGACAGGGACAAAAAGAGACAGGGAGAGAGAUAGAGAUGGACAGAAAGAGACAGAGAGACAGACAAAGGAAAAUACACACACAGAGAGAGAGACAAACACAGGAAAACACACACACACCGACAGAGAGGGACAGGGACAGAAAGCCAGAGAGAGAGACAGACACAGGAAAACACACACACCAAGAAAGAGAGACAGGGACAGAAAGAGCCAGAGAGAGAGACACACACAGGAAAACUUAGAGAGACAGACUGAGACAGGGACAGAAAGAGACAGAGAGAGAGCCAGAUACAGGAAAACACACACUGAGACAGGGACACAGAGAGACACAAGAAAACACAGAGAGAGAGACUGAGACAGGAAAACACAGAAAGCGAGAGACACUGGAAAACAGAGAGUGACUGAAACAGGGACAGAGAGACACAGGGAAAGACAGAGAAAGACAAAGGAAAACACAGAGCGAGAGACUGAGACAGGG